rnacentral:lncRNA from 1 species
GUACAUGCAGCCGAGCGGGGAGGGGAAGGCAUCGUCACUGGCAUGGAGCCCACCGCCGAGAAGAGUGACUGGGAGCGGGAGAAGCCAUCGGCCCGUCGCCUGCUGCCUGGGAGAGGGAGAAGCCGCCGGCUAGCCGCCCUCCGCCGAGAACCACCUGCUGCCGAGAGCCCGAGAGGAAGAUGCUGCCGCCCGAGAGGGAGAAGCUAGUUGCCACCGCCGAGAGGGACUCAUGGUUUUGAAAUCUAAACUUCUAAUAUCUGAAAUUUCUUUUAUACCUAGGAUUUCCAAGUAGUGGGUCUUAGGCCAUAUCACAAUAUUAGGCCGACCACGAGUAUUUUGAACCCACAGGUUAACGGGUUUGGUAUCAGGAGAACGUACCCAUUGGUGAUGUUUUUGCACAUUAACAGACCCGUGGGUGCAGUUUUUCGAACGUUCCCAUGUCCUAAUAGUGUAAAAACCCGACGAGUUUCGGGUUGUGGGGCCCUGUUGCUAUGUCUACUCCUAUGUCCUAACAACCCUAUCUUUUCACUUUUCACUGAUGCUUAUAAUUUGAUUUUUUAACCUUAAAUUUAGAGUAGAUUUUGAAGUUUUCAUUAUAAUUUAUUUUUCAGCAUUAAUUUUUUGAUUGUUAGGACCAUGUAUAUAAAAAUAUUCAUAAAGCCGCUUGUUUUUUUUUCUAAAUAAGCUAAACAAUCACCCCUGCAAUGUAAGAAUUUCUAGAAUGUUAAUUUUAUGCUAAAUAUAAGUAUUUCUAGUAAUAUUCAAAAUACCAAUUCUCACGUCAAUCAAUUUUCAUUCAAACUCCUAACUAUUUUAUCCCUACUUACUCUCCCAUUCUAUCCUUUCCUCACUUAUAAGAGCACUAUAGUCUUUUUUUUUCUCAAUGUUACUCCCUAUUAAACAACAAAAUAAUGUUAACAUUUUGGGAUGGAGGCAGUAACAUCCAACCCUGUGCCAAUUCUUAAGACAACAAUCUAUUUGAUGUAUUAUAGUUCAUAUUAUCCUGAGAAUAUGUUUAUGAUGUAUCUUAAAUACAUUGGAUGGGAGAAAUUCGAAAAAAAACAGGUGACUACGGUCGCUUUCUUUCGCUGAUUAUUCUCACAUUUUUUCUCGGUUUUUACAUACACGCUUUUCGAA